GUGUUUUUUUAUUAUAAAAGCGAGAAAUAAAUUAAUUCUCUAUUAAAACUCGUGGGUUGAAAGUGGAAAUUAUACAACCUGCGUAUCCUGUCUAGAGAAACAAAU